rnacentral:rRNA from 1 species
GAUGAACGCUGACAGAAUGCUUAACACAUGCAAGUCUACCAAGAAUCACUUCGGUGAGGAAUGGUGGCGGACGGGUGAGUAACGCGUAAAUAAUCUGCCCUUUAGACUGGGAUAUCCUUUGGAAACGAAGGUUAAUACCGGAUAUUAUGAGAUGGACGCAUGUUCAACUUAUGAAAGCUAAAUGCACUAGAGGAGGAGUUUGCGUCCCAUUAGCUAGUUGGUGAGGUAAAGGCUCACCAAGGCCACGAUGGGUAGCCGGCCUGAGAGGGUGAACGGCCAAAAGGGAACUGAGACACGGUCCGUACUCCUACGGGAGGCAGCAGUGGGGAAUAUUGGACAAUGGACCAAAAGUCUGAUUCAGCAAUUCUGGGUGCACGAUGAAGGUCUUCGGAUUGUAAAGUGCUUUCAGUAGGGAAGAAAAAAAUGACGGUACCUACAGAAGAAGCGACGGCUAAAUAUGUGCCAGCCGCCGCCGUAAGAC